rnacentral:rRNA from 1 species
UUUCGCAAUGCCCGAAAGGGUGACGAAGCGACGCCGCGUGGGUGAGGAAGGCCUUCGGGUUGUAAAGCCCUGUCAGGAGUUAUGAAAUGUAAGUGCGCUAAUAUCGUGCUUAUUUGACAAAGGCUCCAAAGGAAGCCACGGCUAACUCUGUGCCAGCAGCCGCGGUAAUACAGAGGUGGCGAGCGUUGUUCGGAAUUAUUGGGCGUAAAGAGCACGUAGGUGGGUUUGCAAGUCAGAUGUGAAAGCCUUCUGUUCAACGGAAGAAUUGCAUCUGAAACUGCUAAUCUUGAGUAUAGGAGGGGAGAAUGGAACUUCUGGUGGAGCGGUGAAAUGCGUAGAUAUCAGAAGGAACGCCGGCGGCGAAAGCGAUUCUCUGGCCUAUUACUGACACUCAGUGUGCGAAAGCUAGGGGAGCAAACGGGAUUAGAUACCCCGGUAGUCCUAGCCCUAAACGAUGGGCACUAAGUAGAGGGGUUUUA